GACUCAGUGGCGAACGGUACCGCGCCUGCAUAAAUUAGAUGCAUCCCCAAAGGUGCUGUGGGAGCCUCUGGUUCGACUCCAGACUGGGUCA